rnacentral:rRNA from 1 species
UUUUGUAUAAUGGGUCAGCGACUUAUAUUCUGUAGCAAGGUUAACCGAAUAGGGGAGCCGAAGGGAAACCGAGUCUUAACUGGGCGUUAAGUUGCAGGGUAUAGACCCGAAACCCGGUGAUCUAGCCAUGGGCAGGUUGAAGGUUGGGUAACACUAACUGGAGGACCGAACCGACUAAUGUUGAAAAAUUAGCGGAUGACUUGUGGCUGGGGGUGAAAGGCCAAUCAAACCGGGAGAUAGCUGGUUCUCCCCGAAAGCUAUUUAGGUAGCGCCUCGUGAAUUCAUCUCCGGGGGUAGAGCACUGUUUCGGCAAGGGGGUCAUCCCGACUUACCAACCCGAUGCAAACUGCGAAUACCGGAGAAUGUUAUCACGGGAGACACACGGCGGGUGCUAACGUCCGUCGUGAAGAGGGAAACAACCCAGACCGCCAGCUAAGGUCCCAAAGUCAUGGUUAAGUGGGAAACGAUGUGGGAAGGCCCAGACAGCCAGGAUGUUGGCUUAGAAGCAGCCAUCAUUUAAAGAAAGCGUAAUAGCUCACUGGUCGAGUCGGCCUGCGCGGAAGAUGUAACGGGGCUAAACCAUGCACCGAAGCUGCG